rnacentral:rRNA from 1 species
CCUACGGGUGGCAGCAGUGGGGAAUAUUGCACAAUGGGGGAAACCCUGAUGCAGCGACGCCGCGUGAGCGAUGAAGUAUUUCGGUAUGUAAAGCUCUAUCAGCAGGGAAGAAAAUGACGGUACCUGACUAAGAAGCACCGGCUAACUACGUGCCAGCUGCCGCGGUAAUACGUAGGGGGCGAGCGUUAUCCGGAUUCACUGGGUGUAAAGGGAGCGUAGACGGCCAUGCAAGCCAGGGGGGAAAGCCCGGGGCCCAACCCCGGGACUGCCGUUGGAACUGCAUGGCUGGAGUGCGGGAGGGGCAGGCGGAAUGCCUGGUGUAGCGGUGAAAUGCGUAGAUAUCAGGAGGAACACCGGCGGCGAAGGCGGCCUGCUGGACCGCGACUGACGUUGAGGCUCGAAAGCGUGGGGAGCGAACAGGAUUAGAUACCCCUGUAGUC